GUGAAAUGGUGGCCGUGGGCAGCGGUAGUACAGGGGUGGCAAGGGUUAUUCGGAUUUACUGGGGUUAAAGCGUGGGUAGGUGGCUACCUAAGGCGAUUGUGAAAUCCCUGGGCUCGACCUGGGAAUUGCAGUCGAUACUGGGCAGCUAGAGUUCGGUAGAGGGUGACGGAAUUCCCGGUGUAGCGGUGAAAUGCGUAGAUAUCGGGAGGAACAUCGAUGGCGAAGGCAAUCACCUGGGCCUGAACUGACACUGUGACACGAAAGCGUGGGUAGCAAACAGGAUUAGAUACCCUAGUAGUC
rnacentral:rRNA from 1 species